rnacentral:rRNA from 1 species
UGGGGAAUAUUGCACAAUGGGCGAAAGCCUGAUGCAGCGACGCCGCGUGAGGGAUGACGGCCUUCGGGUUGUAAACCUCUUUCAGCAGGGACGAAGCGCAAGUGACGGUACCUGCAGAAGAAGCACCGGCUAACUACGUGCCAGCAGCCGCGGUAAUACGUAGGGUGCAAGCGUUGUCCGGAAUUACUGGGCGUAAAGAGUUCGUAGGCGGUUUGUCGCGUCGUUUGUGAAAACCAGCAGCUCAACUGCUGGCUUGCAGGCGAUACGGGCAGACUUGAGUACUGCAGGGGAGACUGGAAUUCCUGGUGUCGCGGUGAAAUGCGCAGAUAUCAGGUGGAACACCGGUGGCGAAGGCGGGUCUCUGGGCAGUAACUGACGCUGAGGAACGAAAGCGUGGGUAGCGAACAGG